UAUCCAUCUAGUUAUAACCUUUAAUCACAGCAAUAAAUUUCUGUUCUCUUACAGACAGAAAAGCAGAAGGCAGCUGACUAAGAGCUGAUGUACAAAGUACCUCAGUAACACUAAUAUCACCAAGGGCUCAGGAACAUUCUAUUAAACCUGUUAAUUGAUGAAAUUGUCCAGGUGUCCAAGGAUGAUGUACUAAUUAACUUAAAGAAUAGGAGGGGGAGAAAGAAGAAAUGCAUGGCAAAUUGCAGAAAAUAAAGGUAGAAAUUAAAUCCAGAUAUAGCACUGAUUUCUGGAAGGGGGACACUGGUUCGAGCCCUGGUCCGGGAAGAUCCCACGUGCCGCGAAGCAACUAAGCCCGUGCGCCGCAACUACUGAGCCUGCGCUCUAGAGCCCGCGAGCCACAACUACUGAGCCUGCGCGCCACAACUACUGAAGCCUGCGCGCCUAGAGCCCGUGCUCUGAAACAAAGAGAAGCCACCGCAAUGAGAAGCCUGUGCACCACAACGAAGAGUAGCCCUUGCUAGCUGCAACUAGAGAAAGCCCGCGCGCAGCAACGAAGACCCAACGCAGCCAAAAAUAAAUAAAUAAAAUAAAUAAAUUUAUUAAAAAAAUAAA